GAACAGCUCCGGUCUACAGCUCCCAGCGUGAGCGACGCAGAAGACGGUGAUUUCUGCAUUUCCAUCUGAGGUGGAAUGACUGUGGCUCUGUGCCAUCUCGAAAUCUACUGGUCUCUAAGCACAAACGAACAUUCUCUUAAACUAAUGAAAUGAGUGGCAGGCAGCGUGUGCAGAGCACCAGCAAAGGCUCAGAGGGAUGCCCACAGAGUUCCACCGCAACCGUGCACAGAGGAGGAGGAGAAUGCUCCCUACAGGUGAAAACUAGGCUAAUACACAAUGAUUGAAGACUAAAGGAUGAGAAGAGCCACCAGUGGGGCGCAUUCACAGAGAAACGGUCACAUGAUGAGGCAGCAAGAAGGCAAAAAUUGCGAGCCAACAAGAGAGGCCUCAGAAGAAUCCAACCCUGGUGCCGCCUUCAUUUUAAACUUCCAACAACCCCAGAACUGUGGAAAAAAAUUCUAUUUUUUGUCUGUGGUAUUUUGUUAUGGCAACCCUAGCAAACUAAUACACUGAGCAAACUAAUACAUUAAACAGAAUAUUAAAACGAACAAAACAUACUGUUAUUUUUAGUAUGUGCUAUAGUCUGUAUCUAUUUAUUAUCAUUAAGCUUUUAAAAAUUCUAUGCACACAACAAUUUUGUAGUUAUAGUGUUUUGGGGAAUAAAAGGGAAAAGAUGUUUGAG
rnacentral:lncRNA from 10 species